CCGCUCUGGGUUAGUCGGGUCCUAAGCUGAGGCCGACAGGCGUAGGCGAUGGAUAACAGGUUGAUAUUCCUGUACCACCUAGUAUCGUUUUAAUCGAUGGGGGGACGCAGUAGGAUAGGCGAAGCGUGCUGUUGGAGUGCACGUCCAAGCAGUAAGGCUGAGUGUUAGGCAAAUCCGGCACUCAUAAGGCUGAGCUGUGAUGGGGAGAGGAAAUUGUUUCCUCGAGUCGUUGAUUUCACACUGCCGAGAAAAGCCUCUAGAUAGAUAACAGGUGCCCGUACCGCAAACCGACACAGGUAGUCAAGAUGAGAAUUCUAAGGUGAGCGAGCGAACUCUCGUUAAGGAACUCGGCAAAAUGACCCCGUAACUUCGGGAGAAGGGGUGCUCUUUAGGGUUCACGCCCAGAAGAGCCGCAGUGAAUAGGCCCAAGCGACUGUUUAUCAAAAACACAGGUCUCUGCUAAACCGUAAGGUGAUGUAUAGGGGCUGACGCCUGCCCGGUGCUGGAAGGUUAAGAGGAGUGGUUAGCUUCUGCGAAGCUACGAAUCGAAGCCCCAGUAAACGGCGGCCGUAACUAUAACGGUCCUAAGGUAGCGAAAUUCCUUGUCGGGUAAGUUCCGACCCGCACGAAAGGCGUAACGAUUUGGGCACUGUCUCAACGAGAGACUCGGUGAAAUCAUAGUACCUGUGAAGAUGCAGGUUACCCGCGACAGGACGGAAAGACCCCGUGGAGCUUUACUGUAGCCUGAUAUUGAAAUUCGGCACAGCUUGUACAGGAUAGGUAGGAGCCUUUGAAACGUGAGCGCUAGCUUACGUGGAGGCGUUGGUGGGAUACUACCCUAGCUGUGUUGGCUUUCUAACCCGCACCACUUAUCGUGGUGGGAGACAGUGUCAGGCGGGCAGUUUGACUGGGGCGGUCGCCUCCUAAAAGGUAACGGAGGCGCUCAAAGGUUCCCUCAGAAUGGUUGGAAAUCAUUCAUAGAGUGUAAAGGCAUAAGGGAGCUUGACUGCGAGACCUACAAGUCGAGCAGGGUCGAAAGACGGACUUAGUGAUCCGGUGGUUCCGCAUGGAAGGGCCAUCGCUCAACGGAUAAAAGCUACCCCGGGGAUAACAGGCUUAUCUCCCCCAAGAGUUCACAUCGACGGGGAGGUUUGGCACCUCGAUGUCGGCUCAUCGCAUCCUGGGGCUGUAGUCGGUCCCAAGGGUUGGGCUGUUCGCCCAUUAAAGCGGUACGCGAGCUGGGUUCAGAACGUCGUGAGACAGUUCGGUCCCUAUCCGUCGUGGGCGUAGGAAAUUUGAGAGGAGCUGUCCUUAGUACGAGAGGACCGGGAUGGACAUACCUCUGGUGUACCAGUUGUCGUGCCAACGGCAUAGCUGGGUAGCUAUGUAUGGACGGGAUAAGUGCUGAAAGCAUCUAAGCAUGAAGCCCCCCUCAAGAUGAGAUUUCCCAACUUCGGUUAUAAGAUCCCUCGAAGAUGACGAGGUUAAUAGGUUCGAGGUGGAAGCGUGGUGACACGUGGAGCUGACGAAUACUAAUCGAUCGAAGACUUAAUCAAUUUUUUAAA
rnacentral:rRNA from 1 species